rnacentral:rRNA from 1 species
ACAAGCGGUGGAGUAUGUGGUUUAAUUCGAUGCAACGCGAAGAACCUUACCUGGUCUUGACAUCCCGGAGACCCUUAGGAAACUAGGGGGUGCUUCCAUCUGGAAGAAUCUGGAGACAGGUGCUGCAUGGCUGUCGUCAGCUCGUGUCGUGAGAUGUUGGGUUAAGUCCCGCAACGAGCGCAACCCUUGCCUUUAGUUGCCAGCAGUUCGGCUGGGCACUCUAAAGGGACUGCCGGUGUUAAACCGGAGGAAGGUGGGGAUGACGUCAAGUCCUCAUGGCCUUUAUGACCAGGGCUACACACGUACUACAAUGGCCGAUACAAAGGGCAGCGACACUGCGAGGUGAAGCCAAUCCCGUAAAAUCGGUCUCAGUCCGGAUUGGAGUCUGCAACUCGACUCCAUGAAGUUGGAAUCGCUAGUAAUCGUGGAUCAGUAUGCCACGGUGAAUACGUUCCCGGGCCUU